UACGUAGGGUGCGAGCGUUGUCCGGAAUUAUUGGGCGUAAAGGGCUCGUAGGCGGUUUGUCACGUCGGGAGUGAAAACUCGGGGCUUAACUCCGAGCCUGCUUCCGAUACGGGCUGACUAGAGGUAUGCAGGGGAGAACGGAAUUCCUGGUGUAGCGGUGAAAUGCGCAGAUAUCAGGAGGAACACCGGUGGCGAAGGCGGGUCUCUGGGCCGAUACUGACGCUGAGGAGCGAAAGCGUGGGGAGCGAACAGG
rnacentral:rRNA from 1 species